rnacentral:rRNA from 1 species
UACGGAGGAUGCAAGCGUGAUCCGGAAUGAUUGGGCGUAAAGCGUCCGCAGGUGGCUGUGUAAGUCUGCUGUCAAAGAGCGAAGCUCAACUUCGUAAAGGCAGUGGAAACUACACGGCUAGAGUGCGUUCGGGGCAGAGGGAAUUCCUGGUGUAGCGGUGAAAUGCGUAGAGAUCAGGAAGAACACCGGUGGCGAAGGCGCUCUGCUAGGCCGCAACUGACACUGAGGGACGAAAGCUAGGGGAGCGAAUGGG